AUCUUGGAAUGGAUCGCAGAUCUGCGGAGACACACCGGGUUGCAGUUCCCACCUCGUCCAGAGGCGGCGGUAAGUCCACCGCAGGACCCUGGCCAGAAGGCCGACCUUGGGGUCCUUGAUUUUCAAUCUGGUCCGCCAGAGGGGUCUAAAGGAGGAGGAGCAAGCGCGGCUUCAGCCAUUCGUGGGUACAGUUGCGCCGGGCGUCUCAGGGGCGCCGUCUGGGCGGGAGCCGGGGCUUCGGAGUCGUCACGUCUCCACGACCGCCCGCGCCUGCUGCUGAUAGAACGAGCUCCUUGUGUGAAGGCUGUGAUUAUCCGGGAUGUGUUUGCAGGAUGGUGGGGGCCUUACUGCAUGGACCCUGAAGCAGGGGGGCCCAGACCAGGUGGAUCUGGGCCUGGUGGGCUGUGAGGCCUGCAGGUGGAGAGAGGACUCUCAUCUGUGCGGCGUCGCGGCCGGAGCCACCAUCAGAGACGCUGCGCGACGCCCGGAAAAGCAAAAUUGAGUC